rnacentral:rRNA from 1 species
GACGAACGCUGGCGGCGUGCUUAAUACAUGCAAGUCAACUUGACUUUAGAUAGCAAUAUCGAAAAGUAGGGUGGCGCACGGGUGCGUAACGCGUAGGUAAUCUGCCCUGAGGUCUGACAUAACCCGUCGAAAGGCGGGCUAACAUCAGAUGAUAUAUAAUCACGACAUCGUGGAAAUAUCAAAUCUUCGGAGCCUUGGGAUGAGCCUGCGUCUGAUUAGGUAGUUUGCGGAGUAAUAGCCCACCAAGCCUACGAUCAGUAGCUGGUCUGAGAGGAUGAUCAGCCACACUGGAACUGAGACACGGUCCAGACUCCUACGGGAGGCAGCAGUAAGGAAUAUUGCUCAAUGGGGGAAACCCUGAAGCAGCAACGCCGCGUGAAGGAUGAAAUACUUUUGUAUGUAAACUUCUGUAAGAUGGGAAAAAUAUUCUCCUCGGGAGAAUUGAUUGUACCAUCAGAGUAAGCCCCGGCUAACUACGUGCCAGCAGCCG